CCUACGGGUGGCAGCAGUGAGGAAUCUUGGUCAAUGGGCGCGCGCCUGACCCAGCCAAGUAGCGUGAAUGAUGACUGCCCUACGGGUUGUAGACUUCUUUUAUAAAGGACUAGAGUGAGGCACGUGUGCCUUUUUGUAUGUACUUUAUGAAUAAGGAUCGGCUAACUCCGUGCCAGCAGCCGCGGUAAUACGGAGGAUCCGAGCGUUAUCCGGAUUUAUUGGGUUUAAAGGGAGCGUAGAUGGGUUGUUAAGUCAGUUGUGAAAGUUUGCGGCUCAACCGUAAAAUUGCAAUUGAUACUGGCAGUCUUGAGUACAGUUGAGGUAGGCGGAAUUCGUGGUGUAGCGGUGAAAUGCUUAGAUAUCACGAAGAACUCCGAUUGCGAAGGCAGCUUACUAAACUGCCACUGACAUUGAUGCUCGAAAGUGUGGGUAUCAAACAGGAUUAGAUACCCCGGUAGUC
rnacentral:rRNA from 1 species